AGGUAGGUAUGCCUUUCUGAACAUUGCUUUGGCUUUUGGUAAACUUAUAAUAGCAGGUUAUAUGAGAAUUGAUUCUUUAAAAUAGCCACAGCUUAAAUCACAUCUUAAUUUAUUUAUGUUUUACAAAAGUUAGAUCUGGUUACAGUGUAAUUUUGCACACUGGUUUAGUGGGAACAAUAACUUGAACUCAAGAGUUGCCAGCGCUUUCACUCCGAGAGAACUUAUGGUACAGUUUUCUGGAAUUUGCAUUGUACGGUUAAGUUUAUUCACGCAACCAGGAAUUAUGGAGAAUUCAUAACGGAAUUGAACAUUUUAUUCCAAAACUGCAUUAUUGGAAUACUUUUUCAACUUUCUAUAUAAAUUUGCCUAAAUUUUGCAAUUUUUUUUUUUAUUCUUUGGAGUAACAUGGAUGUAGUCUAGUAGCCAGGAAGAUGGUUCUGGUUAAACUACAGAGCUUCUUUGCUGCAAAGCAUGACUAUACUUAGUGUAUAAGGGCUUUAAAUGUAUUCUCCAAAACUGC